GCUCUGUUAUACACUCAGACACAUUACUGGGAGUAUUAUUGCUGUGGAGCUCUGUUAUACACUCAGACAACACAUUACUGGGAGUAUUAUUGCUGUGGAGCUCUGUUAUACACUCAGACAACACAUUACUGGGAGUAUUAUUGCUGUGGAGCUCUGUUAUACACUCAGACAACACAUUACUGGGAGUAUUAUUGCUGUGGAGCUCUGUUAUACACUCAGACACAUUACUGGGAGUAUUAUUGCUGUGGAGCUCUGUUAUACACUCAGACACAUUACUGGGAGUAUUAUUGCUGUGGAGCUCUGUUAUACACUCAGACACAUUACUGGGAGUAUUAUUGCUGUGGAGCUCUGUUAUACACUCAGACACAUUACUGGGAGUAUUAUUGCUGUGGAGCUCUGUUAUACACUCAGACACAUUACUGGGAGUAUUAUUGCUGUGGAGCUCUGUUAUACACUCAGACACAUUACUGGGAGUAUUAUUGCUGUGGAGCUCUGUUAUACACUCAGACACAUUACUGGGAGUAUUAUUGCUGUGGAG